UCCGAGCGGGACUUCCCGGUGUCCAGACAUUUCAAUUCCGAUUCCCAUUCCCGUUCCGACGUGUCAUCCCAUCCCUUGCCAAGAUGAGGCCAUCCUCAGGGUGCGGGAUCAGCAACUUGUAUUCCGUCUGGGUGCCCCCACCCACCCUGAUGGCAUGGAUAUCGAUUUCCCCUUCCGGUGAACAAAUUUACCUCACACCCCUCCGUCCCACUCCCUCUCAUCCCCUCUGUCUUUGUACGUCCUCUCACCUGCUUAUCACUUCACUCUGGGCCCACUGCUCCAUCCCUUUCUCAAUAUAUUGAAGUGUACCUGUGAGUGUCGAUACUCAAAAUAUCCUCACACGUCAGGUGUUACAUGGUUCGACCUUUAUACAUCCUGUUUAGUGUUUAAAUAUAUAAAAAGUUAAAGAAGCUUGAAUCUUUACAUAAAUUAUUAUCGCAACUAUACGUAUAUAAAACAUUGUAUUUUGGAAGUGACAAAUGUUAACGGGAGGAGAGCAACCAUUUAGGAGGUUUGGAAAUGCAUUUCAUCUCGUUCAUUUCCUCACUAAAUUACUCUUUUUUCCUAUCAACGCAAAGAGAAAAAGAGCCUCUUUUCAAUCAACUACAGUUGGUGGAGCGAGGCCAAGGAGUUAAUCAGCUACUAAUGAUAUGAAAUGACGUAAAACUAGCUUGUAGCCUAGAAUUUUUUUUCCAUUUGGCUUCCAAAACAAAAUUAAAUUUAUCCAGGUGUAGAAGGGGAUUUUGGAUGAUUAGCUUGUGUAUCUGAUCAAAAUCAGGAAGAAGAUGAGCGAGCACUGAAUUUUUCUUUCAUUAUUUUCCACUCUUAAACAUAGGUUUCGAUGUUCAUUCCGUGCUUAUUAUAGCUCCUUCCUGGAAUCCAAUGGUACCCAUUGGAAAGAGCGGAAAAAUGCUCGCAUUUGUGUACAGUUAGACCUGUGGUGAGAGAUUUACUUGAAGAAAAACCCCAACUGGAGGCAAACCACGACUGUAAGAGGAGGGAACAACAACAAGUGAACCAGCCCGAGGAUUGAGAGCAUCAACUGGAGAGAAACCAAUCUGACUCGGAGAUUCCGGUGAUUCAGUCAGGAGAAAGUCUGGUUAAAAUCGACAAGGAAUUUGUCUAUGGGAAUUCAAACACAACACACCAGUUGUGCUGUCUCUGUCUAGAUAUUUAAGGAGCAAGUGAUUCAAUCCGC